rnacentral:rRNA from 1 species
UGGGGAAUAUUGCACAAUGGAGGGAACUCUGAUGCAGCGACGCCGCGUGAGUGAUGAAGGAAUUCGUUUCGUAAAACUCUGUUCUAUGGGAAGAAAAGGACUGUACCAUAGGAGAAAGCUCCGGCUAAAUACGUGCCAGCAGCCGCGGUAAUACGUAUGGAGCGAGCGUUGUCCGGAAUUAUUGGGCGUAAAGGGUGCGCAGGCGGCUUUACAAGUUGGAUGUGAAAUAUUGUGGCUCAACCACAAACGUGCAUCCAAAACUGCAAAGCUUGAGUUAAGGAGAGGUAAGUGGAAUUCCUGGUGUAGCGGUGGAAAGCGUAGAUAUCAGGAGGAAUACCGGUGGCGAAGGCGACUUACUGGACUUAAACUGACGCUCAGGCACGAAAGCGUGGGGAGCAAACAGG